rnacentral:misc_RNA from 1 species
AACUUUCGGCAAUGGAUCUCUUGGCUCUCGCAUCGAUGAAGAACGCAGCGAAAUGUGAUUAGUAAUGUGAAUUGCAGAAUUCAGUGAAUCAUCGAAUCUUUGAACGCACCUUGCACUCUCUGGUAUUCCGGAGAGUAUGUCUGUUUGAGUGUCAUGAACUCUUCAACCUACCGAUUUCUAGUAAAUCGGAUUAGUGUUUGGAUUCUGAACGUCUGCUGGCCUUUAUUGGCGAAGCUCGUUCGUAAAUGAUUAGCAUCUCAUAUUCGAAAAUCGGAUUGACUCAGUGUAAUAGACUAUUCGCUGAGGACGCUCUUUCGGGAGUGGCCGAGUUUUGUAAAGUAGAAGCUUCUAACUCUAUUAGUCAACUUUAGAUUAGACCUCAGAUCAGUCAGGAUUACCCGCUGAACUUAAGCAUAUCAAUAAGCGGAGGCU